GAUGAACGCUGGCGGCGUGCCUAAUACAUGCAAGUCGAGCGAACAGACGAGGAGCUUGCUCCUCUGACGUUAGCGGCGGACGGGUGAGUAACACGUGGAUAACCUACCUAUAAGACUGGGAUAACUUCGGGAAACCGGAGCUAAUACCGGAUAAUAUAUUGAACCGCAUGGUUCAAUAGUGAAAGACGGUUUUGCUGUCACCUAUAGAUAGAUCCGCGCCGCAUUAGCUAGUUGGUAAGGUAACGGCUUACCAAGGCAACGAUGCGUAGCCGACCUGAGAGGGUGAUCGGCAACACUGGAACUGAGACACGGUCCAGACUCCUACGGGAGGCAGCAGUAGGGAAUCUUCCGCAAUGGGCGAAAGCCUGACGGAGCAACGCCGCGUGAGUGAUGAAGGUCUUCGGAUCGUAAAACUCUGUUAUUAGGGAAGAACAAAUGUGUAAGUAACUAUGCACGUCUUGACGGUACCUAAUCAGAAAGCCACGGCUAACUACGUG
rnacentral:rRNA from 1 species